ACGCCUAUAACGCCAAUAACGUCUAUAACGCCAAUAACGCCUAUAACGCCUAUAACGCCAAUAAAGUCUAUAACGCCUAUAACGCCUAUAACGCCUAUAACGCCAAUAAAGUCUAUAACGCCUAUAACGCCAAUAACGUCUAUAACGUCUAUAACGCCUAUAACGACUAUAACGCCAAUAAAGUCUAUAACGCCUAUAACGCCUAUAACGCCAAUAACGCCUAUAACGACUAUAACGCCAAUAACGCCUAUAACGCCAAUAACGCCUAUAAC
rnacentral:lncRNA from 1 species